AGAAUUGAACGCUGGCGGCAUGCUUUACACAUGCAAGUCGAGCGGCAGCGCGGGGGCAACCCUGGCGGCGAGCGGCGAACGGGUGAGUAAUGCAUCGGAACGUGUCCCGUGGUGGGGGAUAACCCGGCGAAAGCCGGGCUAAUACCGCAUAUGCUCUGAGGAGGAAAGGGGGGGAUCCGCAAGGACCUCACGCCAUGGGAGCGGCCGAUGUCCGAUUAGCUUGUUGGUGGGGUAAUGGCUUACCAAGGCGACGAUCGGUAGCUGGUCUGAGAGGAUGAUCAGCCACACGUGGGACUG
rnacentral:rRNA from 1 species